rnacentral:rRNA from 1 species
GACGAACGCUGGCGGCGUGCCUAAUACAUGCAAGUAGAACGCUGAAGGAGGAGCUUGCUUCUCUGGAUGAGUUGCGAACGGGUGAGUAACGCGUAGGUAACCUGCCUGGUAGCGGGGGAUAACUAUUGGAAACGAUAGCUAAUACCGCAUAAGAGUAGAUGUUGCAUGACAUUUGCUUAAAAGGUGCAAUUGCAUCACUACCAGAUGGACCUGCGUUGUAUUAGCUAGUUGGUGGGGUAACGGCUCACCAAGGCGACGAUACAUAGCCGACCUGAGAGGGUGAUCGGCCACACUGGGACUGAGACACGGCCCAGACGCCUACGGGAGGCAGCAGUAGGGAAUCUUCGGCAAUGGACGGAAGUCUGACCGAGCUACGCCGCGUGAGUGAAGAAGGUUUUCGGAUCGUAAAGCUCUGUUGUAAGAGAAGAACGAGUGUGAGAGUGGAAAGUUCACACUGUGACGGUAUCUUACCAGAAAGGGACGGCUAACUACGUG